CCGUGUCUUGCGGGGUUGGAAUGACAUGAGGACUACUUCCAAAAUUGUGUUUCCACAUCUGAGAUGAAGGCAGUGAAAAGAACGAAGUGGAAUAAGAAUAAGCUCUUCAAAAAACACAACUUCUCUGAAUAAUGUGGGGGAAGAUGUUUGCAUGAUUUGUAAAUAAACACUUUAAAUACA